UACGUAGGGGGCGAGCGUUGUCCGGAAUUAUUGGGCGUAAAGCGCGUGUAGGCGGCUUGGUAAGUCCGCUGUGAAAACUCGGGGCUCAACCCCGAGCCUGCGGUCGAUACGGGCAGACUUGAGUUCGGCAGGGGAGACUGGAAUUCCAGGUGUAGCGGUGAAAUGCGUAGAUAUCUGGAGGAACACCGGUGGCGAAGGCGGCAUUCUGGACCGAAACUGACGCUGAGGCGCGAAAGCCAGGGGAGCAGACGGG
rnacentral:rRNA from 1 species